UGUUCACCUUGUUCGCGAAUACGCAGA
rnacentral:sRNA from 1 species